rnacentral:rRNA from 1 species
GUCGAGCGCGGGAAGCGAGUGGAUCCCUUCGGGGUGAAGCUCGUGGAACGAGCGGCGGACGGGUGAGUAACACGUGGGCAACCUGCCUGUAAGAUCGGAAUAACCCCGGGAAACCGGGGCUAAUGCCGGGUAAUACUUUCUUUCGCAUGAAGGAAAGUUGAAAGAUGGCUUCUCGCUAUCACUUACAGAUGGGCCCGCGGCGCAUUAGCUAGUUGGUGAGGUAACGGCUCACCAAGGCGACGAUGCGUAGCCGACCUGAGAGGGUGAUCGGCCACACUGGGACUGAGACACGGCCCAGACUCCUACGGGAGGCAGCAGUAGGGAAUCUUCCGCAAUGGACGAAAGUCUGACGGAGCAACGCCGCGUGAACGAUGAAGGUCUUCGGAUCGUAAAGUUCUGUUGUUAGGGAAGAACAAGUACCGUGCGAAUAGAGCGGUACCUUGACGGUACCUAACGAGGAAGCCCCGGCUAACUACGUGCCAGCAGCCGCGGUAAUACGUAGGGGGCAAGCGUUGUCCGGAAUUAUUGGGCGUAAAGCGCGCGCAGGCGGUUCCUUAAGUCUGAUGUGAAAGCCCACGGCUCAACCGUGGAGGGUCAUUGGAAACUGGGGAACUUGAGGACAGAAGAGGAGAGUGGAAUUCCACGUGUAGCGGUGAAAUGCGUAGAUAUGUGGAGGAACACCAGUGGCGAAGGCGACUCUCUGGUCUGUUUCUGACGCUGAGGUGCGAAAGCGUGGGUAGCAAACAGGAUUAGAUACCCUGGUAG